rnacentral:tRNA from 1 species
GUGGGUAUAGGUCAGUGGUAGAAUGCAUGCUUAGCAUGCAUGAAGUUCUGGUUCAAUGCCCGGUACCUCCA